AUGAAUGGAGGUAGCGGACAAAGC
rnacentral:siRNA from 1 species